rnacentral:rRNA from 1 species
UAAGGAAUAUUGGUCAAUGGACGGAAGUCUGAACCAGCCAUGCCGCGUGCAGGAAGACUGCCCUAUGGGUUGUAAACUGCUUUUAUACGGGAACAAACGUCGGUACGUGUACCGGUCUGAGUGUACCGUAAGAAUAAGGAUCGGCUAACUCCGUGCCAGCAGCCGCGGUAAUACGGAGGAUCCGAGCGUUAUCCGGAAUUAUUGGGUUUAAAGGGUGCGUAGGCGGCCAGAUAAGUCAGGGGUGAAAGUCGGCAGCUCAACUGUCGCAGUGCCUUUGAUACUGUUUGGCUUGAAUUCGGUUGAAGAUGGCGGAAUGAGACAAGUAGCGGUGAAAUGCAUAGAUAUGUCUCAGAACACCGAUUGCGAAGGCAGCUAUCUAAUCCGUUAUUGACGCUGAUGCACGAAAGCGUGGGGAGCAAACA